rnacentral:lncRNA from 1 species
AAGGCCGGGAAACAAAGAUCCGCAGAGCUUUUGAUGCACAAGAUCAGAGUGGAGGUGGUGGAUUCAUUAGCGUGGAAGGUUUUCAUCAAGUCCUCAGGGAGACUAAUGUCAGUCUUCCCGCGGAUAAGCUUCAAAACCUCUGCAGCAGUGGAUAUAUUGUAUGGAGCGAAUUUAGGGAGACUAAUGUCAGUCUUCCCGCCGAUAAGCUUCAAAACCUCUGCAGCAGUGGAUAUAUUGUAUGGAGCGAAUUCUGGCAGGUUCUGUUAGACUUGGACAAGAGUAUGGGAGGACUAAAAGAUCCUAGUGGAUUAAUGGGGAAAAAGGUCUUUGAUCUUUACCACUUCAAUGGGAUUGC